GAGACGGGUGAGGACAGACAGGAGACAGAGACAGAGGUGAGGACAGACAGGAGACAGAGACAGAGGUGAGGACAGACCAGAGACAGAGGUGAGGACAGACAGGAGACAGAGGUGUGGAAGAAGGAGAGGUAAAGCCAGAUGUGAACUGAUGUUAAAGCCAGGUGUGGACUAAUGUUAAAGCCAGGUGUGAACUGAUGUUAAAGCCAGCUGUGAACUGAUGUUAAUAGCAGGUGUGAACUGAUGUUAAUAGCAGGUGUGAACUGAUGUUAAAGCCAGGUGUGAACUGAUGUUAAAGCCAGCUGUGAACUGAUGUUAAUAGCAGGUGUGAACUGAUGUUAAAGCCAGCUGUGAACUGAUGUUAAUAGCAGGUGUGAACUGAUGUUAAAGCCAGGUGUGAACUGAUGUUAAAGCCAGCUGUGAACUGAUGUUAAUAGCAGGUGUGAACUGAUGUUAAAGCCAGGUGUGAACUGAUGUUAAUGCCAGGUGUGGACUGAUGUUAAAGCCAGAUGUGAAGUGAUGUUAAAGCCAGGUGUGGAUUGAUGUUAAAGCCAGGUGUGGACAGAUGUUAAUAGCAGGUGUGAACUGUGUCUGUGU